rnacentral:rRNA from 1 species
UCGCCCGCCGCGCGCGGCGGGCGGGGCGGGGGCACGGGGGGACUCCUACGGGAGGCAGCAGCAAGGAGUUUUCCGCAAUGGGCGAAAGCCUGACGGAGCAACGCCGCGUGUGGGAUGACGCCCUUCGGGGUGUAAACCACUUUUCUUGGGGACGAAGCAGUGACGUACCCGAGAGAA